rnacentral:rRNA from 1 species
GGAAUCCGCGGGGACCAUCCCGCAAGGCUAAAUACUCCCUAGUGACCGAUAGUGAACCAGUACCGUGAGGGAAAGGUGAAAAGCACCCCGGAAGGGGAGUGAAAUAGAUCCUGAAACCGUGUGCCUACAACAAGUCAAAGCUCGUUAAUGAGUGAUGGCGUGCCUUUUGUAGAAUGAACCGGCGAGUUACGAUUGCAUGCGAGGUUAAGUCGAAGAGACGGAGCCGCAGCGAAAGCGAGUCUGAAUAGGGCGAAUGAGUAUGUAGUCGUAGACCCGAAACCAUGUGAUCUACCCAUGUCCAGGUUGAAGGUGCGGUAAAACGCACUGGAGGACCGAACCCACGUACGUUGAAAAGUGCGGGGAUGAGGUGUGGGUAGCGGAGAAAUUCCAAACGAACUUGGAGAUAGCUGGUUCUCUCCGAAAUAGCUUUAGGGCUAGCCUCGGAAUUGAGAAUGAUGGAGGUAGAGCACUGUUUGGACUAGGGGCCCAUCUCGGGUUACCGAAUUCAGAUAAACUCCGAAUGCCAUUCAUUUAUAUCCGGGAGUCAGACUGCGAGUGAUAAGAUCCGUAGUCGAAAGGGAAACAGCCCAGACCACCAGCUAAGGUCCCAAAAUAUAUGUUAAGUGGAAAAGGAUGUGGGGUUGCACAGACAACUAGGAUGUUGGCUUAGAAGCAGCCACCAUUUAAAGAGUGCGUAAUAGCUCACUAGUCGAG